AGAGCUUACCAUUGGGAUCUGGAAAAGUUGCGUUGGGACUUUGGGCCGCUGCUGCUGCCUCUGAUGUUGAAAGCAUUCCUGUUGUUGGUGUUGCUGUUGUUGUGAUUUCUGACACUGUUGUUGUCGUCGGCUCACCAUCGGGAUCUAGAGAAGUCGCGUUGGGACUCGGAGCCGGUGCUGUUGCCUUUGAUUUCAUUGUUGUUGGUGCUACUGUUGUUGUUGUUGUUGUCGUCUGUGUUGUUGUCGGAUCAGAAACUGCUGUUGGUGGUGGUGGUGGUACUGGUGGUGGUACUGGUGGGGGUACUGGUGCUGCUACUGCUGUUUUCGUCUGUGUUGUCAGAUCAGAAACUGUUGCUGUUCCUGUCGCUGGUGUUGUUGUCAGAUUGGAACCUGCAGAAAUGUAGUAAGUCACUCAGUGAUACAAUAUCACAAUAUGCG
ensembl:lncRNA